rnacentral:rRNA from 1 species
GUCGCACGAGCGCACCCCUACCGUCUGUUGCCAACAGGUAAUGCUGGGGACUCAGGCGGAACUGCCGGUGACAAACCGGAGGAAGGUGGGGACGAGGUCAGGUCAUCAUGAUCCUUACGCCCAGGGCUACACACGUGCUACAAUGGCCGGUACAAAGGGCUGCAAUCCCGCGAGGGGGAGCGAAUCCCAAAAAGCCGGUCUAAGUUCGGAUUGUAGUCUGCAACUCGACUGCAUGAAGUCGGAAUCGCUAGUAAUCGUGUAUCAGCAACGACACGGUGAAUACGUUCCCGGGCCUUGUACACACCGCCCGUCAAGCCAUGGAAGCCGGGAGUGCCCGAAGUCCGUGAUCCAACUUCGUGAGGAAGCGGCCGAAGGUAAGUUCGGUGACUGGGGCUAAGUCGUAACAAGGUAGCCGUAGGGGAACCUGCGGCUGGAUCACCUCCUUU